rnacentral:tRNA from 1 species
GCUCUCGUAGCUCAGUUGGUUAGAGCUUCGUACUAAUAUUGGGAUCAAUGUCUGUCCUAGUCUUGGUGAUGCGGAGGCCGCAGGUUCAAGCCCUGCCGAGAGCA